CUCUAACCUAACAUUUAACCUAAGUUUCUAGUCUAAUUCACAAACCCAUUUGGCCAACUACUCCAAUUUAAAUUUCGUUACUUGGAUGAGCUUGGAGGCAUGAAGAUCAACCAAAAACCUAAUCUUUCCAAGAAAAAUAAUUUGAAAAAAUUAGAGAAUAAAUAUGAAAAUAUAACCAUAAAUUCAAAAAUUCCAAAAGUUGGAAAUAUAUACAUUUCAAUCUUGAAAAU
rnacentral:lncRNA from 1 species